rnacentral:rRNA from 1 species
CGCCUGUUUAUCAAAAACAUCUUUUCUCGUUAGUUUUUGAAGUAUGGCCUGCCCGCUGACUUUGGUGUUGAAGGGCCGCGGUAUUUUGACCGUGCAAAGGUAGCAUAGUCAUUAGUUCUUUAAUUGUGAUCUGGUAUGAAUGGCUUGACGAGGCAUGGGCUGUCUUAAUUUUGAAUUGUUUAUUGAAUUUGGUCUUUGAGUUAAAAUUCUUAGAUGUUUUUAUGGGACGAGAAGACCCUAUAGAGUUUAACAUUUAUUAUGGUCCUUUUCUGUUUGUGAGGGUUCACUGGGCCGUCUAAUAUGUUUUGUUGGGGUGAUGGGAGGGAUUAAUUUAACCCCUCCUUUUUAUUAUUAUAUUUAUUUAUAUUUACUUGAUCCAUUUAUUUUGAUUGUAAGAUUAAAUUACCUUAGGGAUAACAGCGUAA